GACAGGUGGACAGGUAGAGAGGCAAGAAGGUUCACUUAUGGUCAAUCCUUCCCGUACAAACACUGGCUUAUGGAGGUAAUUCAGAACAGGUAUGCAGGUGAAGAGGUAAACAGGUAGAGAUAAAAAUGGAGUUAAUUAAGAACAGGUGAACAGGUAGAGGCAGAAAGGUAAACUAAUGGCCAAUCCUUCCCGUACAAACACUGGCUAAUGGAGGUAAUUCAGAACAGGUAAAGAGGUAGAGGUUGUAAACAGGUGACUUUGGACAGGUAAACAGGUAACCAAUUCCUACGGUUCAAAUACUAGUAUGGAGGUAAUUAAGGACAGGUAGACAGGUAAACAGGUGAUUAUGGACAAGUAUGCAGGUAAAGGGGUAAUCAGGUAACCACUCCCUCCCGUACGAACACUGGACUAGCUACCUAUACCUUCAAAAUUAGGAAUGCACUGAUAUAGAGAUGAUUAUGGACAGGUAAAACAGGUAGAGUGGAAUCUUUCUAAUGCAUACCCAAUACAACGUGCCCUACCCUGCCAAACUUUACUGAUGUCACCUUUAAUAUAGCGCUUCAUUCAUUCGUUAACUCCAAUUACGUUUCCUCGCAUCAUUUGCCUCUGAAAAAUAUGUCAAUUUAAGCGUUUAUGGCUAUCCUUAUACGGCAAGUUUCUCAACCCAUUAAUCACGUAUGUCAUCCUCCUUUGUACAAAUUCUAACAAGUUGAUAUCGGUUUUAUAAGACCAACACUGCACCGCAUAUUCAAGAUGAGGUCCAGCGAAUGUUAAAUGCAGCUUGUGGAGGCCUUCAGGGUUUAUAUUGCUUACACUUGAAAUGAAACAAAGAACCUUGCUUGUGUGAUUCCUAUCUUGGACGGACAUCAGAGCUUAGACGCCUAAAUCCUUCUUAUAUCUAGGCCUGCUUAGGGGAGUGCCAUUUAAAGAAUCAUAAGCCUUGUCAAGAUUGAAACAUACCUAAGUUGCUCAAAUAUAACGAAGAACCUUGCUUGUGUGAUUUCUAUCUUGGACGGAGAUCAGAGUUAAGACGCCUAAGUUCUUCUUAUAUCUAGACCUACCCCUACUUCUCCUUCCCCUCAUCCCUUCUACUCCUGUUCACCUCCUCCUUUUGAAUCCAAGAUAUUACUCAUUGUCGUAAUAACGCUAAGUUCUUUCGAAUACUGGUGUCCUUGUCCGUUUAUAUCGCCCGGUUAGUGGAAGCAGUAAUGUUAGGGGAGUAUCAUUUAAAGAAUCAUAAGCUUUGUCAAUAUUGAAACAGAUCUGACUUGUUUAUACGUAACGAAUACUUGGUCAAAAGAGAAACAGGGUAUUACGCGGGAAAGGAGUGCUUUAGUAGAUAAUGGAUAACAGAGAGUUGGCAUUAGGAGAAGGAGGAAGAAGAAGAGAAUAACUGUUUUAUAUAUAUUGAAAUUGGGUGUUACGAAAGAGGAAAGUUUUGCGAGUGGAGAAGUGGAGCUUUAGUAACAGUACAGUAACAAAACUAGGUAGAUAAUGGAUAACAGAGAAUUGGCAUUAUGAGAAGGAGGAAGAAGAGGAAAACUGUUUUGAAUAUAUUGAAAUUAGGUGUUACGAAAGAGGAGAGUUUUGUGAGUGGAGAAGUGGAGCUUUAGUAACAGUACAGUAACAAAACUAGGUAGAUAAUGGAUAACAGAGAGUUGGCAUUAGGAGGAGGAGGAAGAAGAGAACUGUUUUGAAUAUAUUGAAAUUGGGUGUUACGAGGGAGGAGAGUUUUGUGAGUGGAAUAGUGGAGCUUUAGUAAUAGUAUAACAAAACUAGGUAGAUAAUGGAUAACAGGGAGUUGACAUUAGGAGGAGGAAGAAGAAAAGGAGGAGAACUGUUUUGUAUAUAUUGAAAUUGGGUGUUACGGAAGAGGAGAGUUUUGUGAGUGGAGGUGAGUGACUUAAAAACAAAAACAAAAAAACAAAAGAAGAACGGCAGCAACUCUAUUAAUUAUCUCAGGCAUUCAAGACAAGCUCCCAAAACAGACCUGACCUUACUGAAAACAAACCAACAAACUCGAAAUAAAAAAAAGGCAAUCAUAAAAAGACGAAUUCAGGCUCCCAGAUGCGAACCAAAACCACGAACUUCCCGCACACACACACACACACACACACACACACACACACACACACACACACACACACACACACACACA